UACGAACUGUGCAAACGUUAUUCGGAAUCACUGGGCUUAAAGGGUGCGUAGGCGGCCAUGUAAGUAGGGUGUGAAAGCCCCCGGCUUAACCGGGGAAUGGCGCUCUAAACUGCAUGGCUGGAGUGAGAUAGGGGUGUGUGGAACUUCCGGUGGAGCGGUGAAAUGUGUUGAUAUCGGAAGGAACGCCGGUGGCGAAAGCGGCACACUGGAUCUCAACUGACGCUGAGGCACGAAAGCCAGGGGAGCAAACGGGAUUAGAAACCCGAGUAGUCC
rnacentral:rRNA from 1 species